UUAUAUUUCCUUAUGUUGAAUAUUAAAAUACAAAAUUUUGACAUUACAGAAGUGGAAUAGGAUAAGUAUAAAAAUUUUUGUUAUUCUCUUACCUUUUGUAUAAUGGUUAAACUAGAAUGUAAUUAAAUAAUUAUUCCCGAAUUAAGAAGAGCUAAUUAUUGACUUAUAUUAGGAUAUAAAAAUUAUGUGGAAAUAUGGUUUUAAGAUCAGUAAUUAGGGGCGAAAUACUUUCAAUUCUUAGGAUAUCUGGAACUCUCUAAAAAGCAUAUAGUGCGAAUAAAGUGAAUUAUAAAGUGUUUAGAUUUUAUAAUAGUUAGAAUUUAAGAAAGAUAAUAAAGUUUCUAGGUUUAAACUCCAAGUUAGUUUUAUUUUGAUAAAUUGAUUUCUUUUUAAAUCUAGAUUUAAAAGUAGGGGAGCUUUUUGAAUAAUAUAUUUCAAAAUUGAUAAUGUUUAAAUUAGUAUUAAAAUUUAGUAUAUAGUUACAGCAUGUUUAUCAGUAGAUAACAGAAUAAAUAAAAAUUAUCUUAAAGGAACUCGGCAAAUAUAAGCUUGGACUGUUUAACAAAAACAUAGCUACAAGUUUUAUAUUUGUGGUUUAACCUGCCCAAUGUAAUAAUGAAUGGCCGCGGUACUCUGACCGUGCUAAGGUAGCGUAAUCAGUUGGCUUUUAAAUGGAGUCAGGAAUGAAUGGAUUAACUGGGCUUAGCUGUCUCUAAGGUAGUAUCUUGAAUUUACUGUUUAAGUGAAAAAGCUUAAUUUUGAAAAAGGGACGAGAAGACCCUUAGAAUUUUUUCUAUUUUAGUGUGUUACUUGUUAAGGUUACUAAUAAGGAUUUUAUUGGGGCGAUAAAGAAAUAAUUCUUAACUUUCUUUAAGAUACAAGCCGAAUAUAUUAAGAAAGGAUAAAUUACCUGAGGGAUAACAGCAUAAUUCUACAGAUGAGUUUGUGACCUCGAUGUUGGACUAGGAAACUGACAAGCUAGGCGCUUGUUAUGUGGGUUCUGUUCGAACUUUUAUUCCUACAUGAUCUGAGUUCAGACCGGCGUAAGCCAGGUCAGAUUCUAUCUUUUUAUUUUAUGGCUUUAGUACGAAAGGACCAGGCUGUAUUAUUAGAAAAUAAAUUUAA
rnacentral:rRNA from 1 species